rnacentral:lncRNA from 1 species
GAUGCCGUAUCCCCAGCCUCUGCCGACGUUGUCCUGGAUGUAGACGAGCACAGUGAGGGAGAAGAGAGCUCCCACCGAGAUGGAAACGAAGAACCAGUUGAAAAAGUAAGACAUGAGCUUCUGCUCCUUCGGUUCGUUCUUAUCGAAUUGAUCGGCUCCGAAUGCAGAGACGUUGGACUUGAUGCCGCCGGUUCCCAGUGCGGAGAGGUAGAGCGCGAGAUAGAGCAGGCUGAGCUGCUUGGCUUUCGCGGGAGGGCAGUCGUGGACGCAGUGAGGAGACCUCAGUGAUGGAAGUGAGGUGAGAAUGGUGAGAACAAGCAUUCCCUGCGAAAACCAUGAAUCAUUGUUUUUCAGCUUCUAACUCUGUACUUCUUCAGCUUACCAGGAACUGGAUUGUUGCGGCGAUAGCGACCGUCCAGAACCGGCCGAUGUAAGUAUCGGCUAUGAAUCCUCCCAGAAGGCACAACAUGAAAGAAGUACCCAGGAA